rfam:Hordeum vulgare subsp. vulgare, WGS project CAJW01000000 data, contig: morex_contig_138670
UAUGUACUCCCUCCGUCCGGAAAUACUUGUAUUAAAAAUGAAUGUAUCUAGACUUAUUUUUAUUAAUAGAUACAUCCAUUAUAUCCAUUUCUAGUACAAGUAUUUUCAGACGGAGGUAGUAUUUA